AAAGGAUGAAAUCUUGCCAUUUGCAACAACCUGAAUGGACCUUGAGGGCAUUAUUCUAAGUAAAAUAAGUCAGAUAGAGAAUGACGAAUACCAUAUGAUCUCACUUAUAUGUGGAAUCUAAAAACAAAAAAAGCAAACUCAUAGAUACAGAGAAUAGAUUGGUGGUUGCUAGAGGUGGGAAGUAGGGAGGGUAUGAAAUGGGUGAAGGGGGUCAAAAGGUACAAAGCUCCAGCUAUAAAGUAAAUAAGCCAUGGGGAUGUGACGUACAGCAGGGUGGCUAUAGUUAAUAAUACCAUAUUGUAUAUUUGAAAGUUGCUAAGAGAGUAAAUCUUAAAAUGAGAAAAAAAUUGGUAACUAUAUAUAGUGAUGAAUGUUAACUAGACUUAUUGUGGUGAUCAUUUCUCAAUAUAUACAAAUACUGAAUCACUAUGUUGUACACCUGAAACUAGUAUAAUGUUAUACGUCAAUUUUAUCUCACUUUACAAAAAUGAAAGAAAAAGAAAAAAGAACAUACGCUUUAUUUUACACUGCCAGGCAUAUCUAUGAUGGUUUUGGUAACAAGGGUCCUUAUCUUAGCAAGUGUCUGAGACAUAAGUCUGGUAAUGAAAAAGACGUCACUUGGUAUGUUUUCUGGAAUGAAAAUUAUUUCAGAGAUAUCCAAAUGGGAAAUUGUGACCACAGAGAAGACAUGGUGCUGUCAGAGGAGUGAACCAGUGCAUACCUUGCAAUUGGCACAUUUCCUGGCAGUUAGUAAGCUGACCGCCUUUAUUCAUCCAAUUCAUUUAUUAAACACUGUGUCCCAGGCACUAUUUCAAGCACUGGGUAUACAGCAAUGAACAAAAUGGACAAAUAUCCCUGUCUUCGUGGAACUUAGCAUUGAGUAUAACUAUGAAAUAUUUUAUAUGAUGAUGAAGGUUGUAGAAAACAGCUGAGAAGAGGAGAGGAGAAUGUGGAGGGUUGACCUUUUAACCACAGGAUUCAGGGAAGGUCUCACUGAGUGAAGGCUCGAAAGGGGUGAGGUAGGGAGCUAUGUCUCUUUCUUAGAUAAAAGGAGUAUUCCUGGAAGAGGUAAUAGCAAGUGCAAAGGCCCUGAAGUGAAAGUGAGUCUGGCUUGUUCCAGAAACAGUGAGCAGACCUUUGUGGCUAGAGCAGAGUCAGAGAGGGCUAAAGCGGAGGGCAGAGAGGAAAGAAAGGUGGAUGUUGCAGGGGUCCUGCCAGGGGAGCUCCUGGAGAUCAGGGGAAGGAUUUUGCCAUUCAUUUUGAAUGACAUAAGGAGCCAGUUCAAGGUUUUGAGCAGGGGAGUGACAUGACCCGGCAUGUUUUAAAAGCUCAAUCUAUCAGCUGUGUUGAGAACAGAGGGGGUGAAGGACAGAGGUAGAAGUAGGAAAACCAGUUAGGCAUCUGUUGCAAUGAGCCAAAUAGUAUCCAUAGUGGUGUGGACCUGGGUAACAGGAGUGGAGGUGGUAGACGGUGGUUAGAUUCUGGAUAUAUUUUAAAGCUAGAGCCAACAGGACUUUCUGAAGAAUUCAAAACCAUGGCGGCGGGGAGGGAGAAGUGAAAGAAAGAGAGGAGCCAAGGAAGAUUCCAAGAUUCGUUGGCCUAAGGCGGUGGACAGACGGGGUUGCCAUUUACCGAGAUUAGCCCUGAACUAACUACUGCCAGUCGUCCUCUUUUUUGCUGAGGAAGCCUGGCCCUGAGCUAAUAUCCGUGCCCAUCUUCCUCUACUUUCUACGUGGGACGCCUACCACAGCAUAGCGUGCCAAGCGGUGCCAUGUCUGCACCUGGGAUCCCAACCAGAGAACCCUGGGCCACUGAGAAGCGGAACGUGAGAACUUAACCACUGCGCCACCGGGCUGGCCCCUACGUCAAUAAUUCUUUAAUCAGUAAUCCUGGUUGUCAUAUUCACAACCCAUUGACUAGUUUAUAUUCUCUCCAGUUAAGUGACCGUGCUACGUUUAGAAUACAAGUCAUUGUUCUUUGGGUCUGUCUCAGUGUGAGAAUAAAAUAUGCUCUCACAUUACCAUCACUUGUGGUAGGUUGUUACAAUAAUGGCCCCAGUGAAUGAUGCCUUUCAGUAUCCAUUCCUUACGUAGUCCCUUCCACAUUGACUCUGGCUUUGGACAUAUGACUUGCUUUGUCUAAUAGGACAUCAGCAAAUGUGACAUAAACAGAAGCUUCAUACACCCUUGUGCAUUGAGGCUGGCCCUGUUGGAACCCUGGGAUCACGAUGUUACGAGGACUCAUGGUCUAGCCUCUCUGAGAUGAUCCCAGCCAACCCUCUGGUUGAAUGCAGCCACAGGUGAAGUCAGAAGAACCAACAAGCAAACACUCAGAAUUAGGAAAAAUAAUAAAUCCUUAUUGUUUUAAGUCAGUGAUUUUUAGAGUGUUUUCUUAUGUAGUAAUAAUUAACUAAUACAAUGUCUGACUUUUAAACCCUCUCUCCCCAAGAAUAUGUUUCAAGUUAUGUACAAAUGUGUAUACC
rnacentral:lncRNA from 1 species